GACGAACGCUGGCGGCGUGCUUAACACAUGCAAGUCGAACGGUAAGGCCCUUCGGGGUACACGAGUGGCGAACGGGUGAGUAACACGUGGGUGAUCUGCCCUGCACUUCGGGAUAAGCCUGGGAAACUGGGUCUAAUACCGGAUAGGACCACUGCCUGCAUGGGUGGUGGUGGAAAGCUUUUGCGGUGUGGGAUGGGCCCGCGGCCUAUCAGCUUGUUGGUGGGGUGAUGGCCUACCAAGGCGACGACGGGUAGCCGGCCUGAGAGGGUGACCGGCCACACUGGGACUGAGAUACGGCCCAGACUCCUACGGGAGGCAGCAGUGGGGGAUAUCGCACAAUGGGCGCAAGCCUGAUGCAGCGACGCCGCGUGAGGGAUGACGGCCUUCGGGUUGUAAACCUCUUUCAGCACCGACGAAGCGCAAGUGACGGUAGGUGCAGAAGAAGGACCGGCCAACUACGUGCCAGCAGCCGCCGUAA
rnacentral:rRNA from 1 species